UACGUAGGGGGCAAGCGUUAUCCGGAUUUACUGGGUGUAAAGGGCGUGUAGGCGGGAGAGCAAGUCAGACGUGAAAUUCCAGGGCUCAACCCUGGAACUGCGUUUGAAACUGUUCUUCUUGAGUGAUGGAGAGGCAGGCGGAAUUCCGUGUGUAGCGGUGAAAUGCGUAGAUAUACGGAGGAACACCAGUGGCGAAGGCGGCCUGCUGGACAUUAACUGACGCUGAGGUUCGAAAGCGUGGGUAGCAAACAGG
rnacentral:rRNA from 1 species